GCCGCCGGACGGGAAGGUAGUGUCGCACCUCCCUCCGCAUCUCCCUCCCCACAGCGCCGCGCCCUAGACCACAGCGACCCCGAAGUGACUCUGUGGGUGCUGUGUCGACCUCGAACUCUAUCUGUGCGUGUCUGAGAGCUGCCAUGCGUGACCUUUGACCUGUGGCUCUGGAAUAAGUCACUCAAGAAGUCUGUAUAUCGGUCUGUGUUUUAACUAUAUUAUCAUCCCCGCUGCUGUGUCUGUGUGAUCCGUCUGUGUACGUUUUCUGUGUGUGUGUACCCGUAGUGGCUAGUUCAUGUGCUGCUGCUCCCGUGUCUGUUAAACUUUGUAAAUCGUGUACGUGGAUUUAAACUCUCACACACAUUCACGCACACCCCCACCCACACACACACACACACACGUACAUCUGUCUGUCGUGUUGUGUGUACGUUGUGGUGUUCGUCUGUGUGUGUUUGUGCGUGUGUGUAUGUGUGUGUGUUUGUGACGUCUUUGAAGAAGUUUUAACUGUGUGAGGCGUGUGGUGGUCUAGCGUGCAGGUGACGUGGAGGUGCCGCGGGUCAGGUCAUGUCAGGUCAGGUCAUGUCAAGUGAAGCCACAAUCAUGACCUGGCGACACCUGGUGAGCGUCAUGCUGGUUAUGGCGGCGACUCACCUGUCCGCUCAUGAAGGUGUCGCCGCCGCCGCCACUGCUGCCUGGGAGACUCGCCCAGCAUCCUUCUACGUCCAAGGUGAAAGUGCCAGCCACGGCCCCGCGGAGACGGUUGUGCACGUGCCCGACAACAACAAUAACCACAACAAAGACAACAUCCCUCGAGACCCUCAGGCCGGCAGCCCGACACCUCACCAGCACCGGCAGGAGCGCCCUCAGAACAAGAACACCCCAGUUGGCGGGGGUAGUGGUGGUGGUGGCGGUGGAGGUGGCGGGCGUGGCAGCAACGUCGUGGACACCGUCUUGGCGGCCCUGGUAGAUUACGCGAAGGACCCUGAGUUGUGGCGGAGCGUGCAUAGAGUUGUCGACGAGCUUGACUUCAGCCAGCGUGCCAGCCACCCGCCAGCACCCGCCGCCCCCCUUCCCCCGCGGCCAGCCCUGCACCUCUCACACCCACGCACCUACCUCUGGGGGACGGCUGGCGGCACAAAGCACACGAGGGACGAGAGUGACAGCCGCACUUACAGGUGGUCGAGUGGCGGCGACAGGCACGGCAGAGGAAACGCUUCGGGUGACAGCAGAACCACCACCACCACCACCACCACUACCACCACUACCUCCACCACUGCAGCACCAACCACAGCGGGUCCUCCAUUCCCCUGGCCACAGCAGCUCCCAGAAGUCAGCGCUGGGAGCCUCGACAACUACACAUUCACCGACAUGCUCUCAGCCACUCGCUCGGACAGAGUUAACUUUGUAAGGAGUCAACCCUCAGCGGCCCCUCACUUCCUCUUCCACCGGGUGUUCCUCAACGAGACCUUCGACAGCCAUACCAGACAGCCGUACCGCCGCCCCGUCCUUGCACUCACGGCCGUGGGCAAGAACGCGGCGAAGUCUGGGAAAGGAAACUUCACUGAUGCCACAAACCACACAGGCACGGACUCGAGUCGCGGUGCUGGUGCAAGAGAGCUCCCAGACAGAUAUUAUUCCCUCACGGAAGACUCUGUGGCGCCAAAGUAUUCCAGGGAACCAAGUCAAGGCGAAGGAACAACACAUGCGGCCGACGAGGAAUAUAGUGGCGGUGUGAGUGAGUCCCGAGAGGCUUCAUCCGGCAUGCACCACCACCACCACCACCACCACCACCACCACCGCCAACACCACCACCACCCACACCACAGGUUACGCACAUUCAAGAGCCAAUUGAAGUUUCUGCAGCGCUGGGAGGAGAGGCUCAGGCGGAGGCGUGCUCACUUUCGGCCCCAACACAACACCGAGGGACUGUAGCAGCCGCCGGCCCUCCCUGCGCCUCAGAUCAGCUCCAGUUGUCAGGAUCCCGAACUCCCCCUUGGCCGACCCUUGUGUAGUCCGCGGCAGCCUCCUGGGCAAGGGCGUGUCGGGCCGUGACUGUCCCAAGAGUGAGGCCAAGUGUACCCCGCGCGCCUCCCACACCGCCGGGAUUGUGACUGACGCGCUGCCGGAGCCUGAGGGAAACACGCCGCCCGCCACCACGAGUUUGAAGGCGCUGCUGGGCGGCCUCAGCAAGGCUCGCUACUGCAUGGCCCAGUGUGGGGCGCCGCGGGAACAGCCCAAUUCUGCCUUGACACAACCCGCAGCCACGCCCUUGGUCGAUGCAGUGCGGCCGUCCCUUAGCCACCAACAGCAGCAGCAACAACAACAGCAACUACAAAUAGUGUUCAUUUAUCGCGGCUCAUGGGUGAGGAGGAAGUUUCUGCCGGCGUGAGCUUGUGUGGCUCAUUUGUUCUCCAACACGUAUAAGAGAAACUCCGAACCAGGAACUGUUUCUGACUUGGGCGACGACGGUGCCGGACGCGACGCCUCCGCCCUCAUACCAACUCUUCCCAAAGGCGCAAGAGGAGGUUAAUCGGGGUCUCAUGAGUGUUUCUUUUUCACGUUCAUGGUACAGUCCCGCUACGAAGUGUUGAGACAGUUUGCAAGGACUUUCGUUCAAAUAAUACAUAACAUUAUUCGAAGGGAAGGGAUGUUUAGGAGUGAUUUUCUUAUAGAUACACAAAAUUUAGUAGUUUUAUAAAAGUUGGUAGAGAAUGUUUCCCCGAGGGUAGUUGCCAAAUCUCGCCAGCCUACGCUCCGUGUCCGAAAGAUUAUGAAAACUGUGUCAACACUUUGUAACGCGACUGUACAGAAGCUUUGUCUAACUACCACCAGGGUCGUAAAACUAUCCAUGGACACGACUCCUACGAAAGCCUUGUCGAAUGUGUGUGUGCCUGGCCGCUGAAGUGUUAAGACUACGGUCGGUAUUAUAAGACACCUCCGUCUCUCACAUCAGCUAUUUCUAAAGGUCAAAGAGGGAGUCAAUCGGGUUCUUAUGAGUGUUUCUUCAGGUUCAUGGUACAGAAGAAGGGUCACACUACCACCACGGCCAUAAAACUACCCCUGGAAAUGCCCACAACUCCUACGAAAGCCUUGUCAAAUAUGUUUCUUAGGUUCAUGGUACAGAAGAAGGGUCACACUACCACCAGGGCCAUAAAACUACCCCUGGAAAUGCCCACAACUCCUACGAAAGCCUUGUCAAAUAUGUAUCUUAGGUUCAUGGUACAGAAGAAGGGUCACACUACCACCAGGGCCAUAAAACUACCCCUGGAAAUGCCCACAACUCCUACGAAAGCCUUGUCAAAUGUGUGUUUCUUUAGGUUCACGGUACAGAAGAAGGGUCACACUACCACCAGGGCCAUUAAACUACCCCUGGAAAUGCCCACAACUCCUACGAAAGCCUUGUCAAAUAUGUUUCUUAGGUUCAUGGUACAGAAGAAGGGUCACACUACCACCAGGGCCAUUAAACUACCCCUGGAAAUACCCACAACUCCUACGAAAGCCUUGUCAAAUGUGUGUUUCUUUAGGUUCAGGGUACAGAAGAAGGGUCACACUACCACCAGGGCCAUUAAACUACCCCUGGAAAUGCCCACAACUCCUACGAAAGCCUUGUCAAAUAUGUUUCUUAGGUUCAUGGUACAGAAGGAGGGUCACACUACCACCUGGGCCAUUAAACUACCCCUGGAAAUACCCACAACUCCUACGAAAGCCUUGUCAAAUGUGUGUUUCUUUAGGUUCAGGGUACAGAAGAAGGGUCACACUACCACCAGGGUCAUAAAACUACCCCUGGAAAUGCCCACAACUCUUACGAAAGCCUUGUCAAAUAUGUGUUCUUGGGCGGCGAGGUGUCUCAUAAUACGACCCGUUAUGGCCCUGAAAGCACUGGACAGAGCAGAGACCCGAGCUGGACUGACCCACACGCUGUCCUUCGCCCACCAAGUUGUCUUCUCUAGUCAUUUCGCUGCCAAUGUGGAGGACUGAAUGUUUGUUGAAUGACCUUAUCAGAGGGACUGGUUGGUUGGUAAGUAUCUACAUCAUAAAACAAUAAUGUAUAAAUAUUUUUGAUAGAUGAAAAAUGGCGUAUACAUAGCUUUACAGAUUCUCCUUAUCAUACUAGACACUAACCACCGAUUGUAACAUAUCAGCGUAAGAGUGAUGAUAGUUUAUAUACUACAAUGUGUAGAUGAAUAUUUUAGUAAAAAUUAUAUAAUGCAAAUGUCUUUCUUGCU